rnacentral:rRNA from 1 species
GGCGGCGUGCCUAACACAUGCAAGUCGAGCGGGAUCCAUCCAGUAGCAAUACUGGUGAAGAUCUAGCGGCGAACGGGUGAGUAACACGUGAGAAACCUGCCCCGAAGUCUGGGAUAACCCGAGGAAACUCGAGCUAAUACCGGAUGUCCUUCUCUGGUCGCAUGGCCUAGGAAGGAAAGAUUUAUCGCUUCGGGAGGGUCUCGCGGCCUAUCAGCUAGUUGGUGAGGUAACGGCUCACCAAGGCGACGAUCCGUAACUGGUCUGAGAGGAUGAUCAGUCACACUGGAACUGAGACACGGUCCAGACUCCUACGGGAGGCAGCAGUGGGGAAUAUUGGACAAUGGGCGAAAGCCUGAUCCAGCCAUGCCGCGUGUGUGAAGAANGUCUUCGGAUUGUAAAGCACUUUAAGUUGGGAGGAA